GACGAACGCUGGCGGCGUGCUUAACACAUGCAAGUCGAACGGAAAGGCCCUGCUUGCAGGGUGCUCGAGUGGCGAACGGGUGAGUAACACGUGGGUGAUCUGCCCCUUACUUUGGGAUAAGCCUGGGAAACUGGGUCUAAUACUGGAUAGGACCAUGCUGUAGGUGGUGUGGUGGAAAGAUUAGUUUCGGUAAGGGAUGAGCUCGCGGCCUAUCAGCUUGUUGGUGGGGUAAUGGCCUACCAAGGCGUCGACGGGUAGCCGGCCUGAGAGGGUGGACGGCCACAUUGGGACUGAGAUACGGCCCAGACUCCCACGGGGGGGAGCAGGGGGGAAUAUGGCAAAAUGGGGGCAAGCCUGAGGCAGGGACGCCGCGGGGGGGAUGAAGGCCUUCGGGUUGGAAACUCCUUUCAGCCAUGACGAAGCCCUUGUGGUGACGGUGGUGGUAAAAGAAGCCCCGGCUAACUACGG
rnacentral:rRNA from 1 species